rnacentral:rRNA from 1 species
UAAUACGUAGGGGGCAAGCGUUAUCCGGAUUUACUGGGUGUAAAGGGAGCGUAGACGGUUUUGCAAGUCUGAAGUGAAAGCCCGGGGCUUAACCCCGGGACUGCUUUGGAAACUGUAGGACUAGAGUGCAGGAGAGGUAAGUGGAAUUCCUAGUGUAGCGGUGAAAUGCGUAGAUAUUAGGAGGAACACCAGUGGCGAAGGCGGCUUACUGGACUGUAACUGACGUUGAGGCUCGAAAGCGUGGGGAGCAAACAGGAUUAGAUACCCUGGUAGUCCACGCCGUAAACGAUGAUUACUAGGUGUUGGUGGGUAUGACCCAUCGGUGCCGCAGCAAACGCAAUAAGUAAUCCACCUGGGGAGUACGUUCGCAAGAAUG